rnacentral:lncRNA from 1 species
CAUCCCCGGAGCCUGACUGCAGAAGCCUAAGGCCCUGGAAACCAGCAAGUUGGCUACUAAAGGUGCCAAGAUUGGAGUGGGGGAGACGCCCAAGACACAUCGACACGUUAGGGCAGGUGCGGGUGUCUGCUGUGAAGGAGGCGGCAGAGACAAGGACCCAGAGGGAUGGAAGAAGGCGUUUCUGCUCAGGCACUAGUAUCAACUGAUAUCCCUAUUGAUGUGUUUUCCUUACAAAAUAAUCCAUCCAUUUCUUGAAGAGAAAGGUAAGUGAUAGAUGGCUUAGAUGCAUACAUAGAUAUGUCAACAUGUGUGUAUAUAUGCAUGGGUGGCUGAAUGGAUGGGUGGAUAGAUUAAUAGGUAGGUAGGUAGGUUGAUUGAUUGAUUGAUGAUUGACAGACUCCCAUAUAUUCUUCUUAUUCUCUAUUAUUUUCAGCAGCUAUAAUUUGAUUCUUGGGAGUUCCUGUUGUGGCUCAGCAGAA